rnacentral:lncRNA from 1 species
CAUAGCCUACAUAGUCGUGUGGAAGACUUUAAAUCAUUCCAUUUAAAUUUGGAUCGCUUUUAUUUUGGUUGUUUACUUGGUAGUCGUAAUAAAUUCCGUAAGUGCAGUUGUUGGAGACGCAAUCCAAAUGAGUUCCAUUUCGAAAAUCGUCCACGCUACCGAAUCUCACCUGCUCUUUUCAUAGUGGCUCCGCAUAUGAUAGCCACAAUGGCGUAAGAGAGGCUCGUGAUACAAAUGGCAAGGAUUGUACCUUUAGGUAUGGCGCUGUUGGGAUCCUGGAUAAAUACUGAUGUGCUGAUACCAUAAACAUUGGCUCCGGACAAGAUACCAAUGCCAGCUGGAAAAUAGACGGAAAACACGGAAAAGAAAUCUUGCAUUUGUCCAUCGGUGAACGUGUAGCCAGGGCUCCAGUUUUCGCGGAUGAGAUCCACUAUAUUUAAAGGGUCGAUGUUUUCUCAUGAAUUUAUGCAAAUUCGAAUUUCUAUUGUUUGUUUUGCCCUACAGUCAUAGCCAAGGAAUCCUUUGGCUUGCUUCUGUUCAGAACUGCCAGGGCCCAUUAUGCUGCCGACAAGAAAGUUGGACAAGGCUACUAGUAGGAUAACCAACAUCACUCCCUGCGUCUAAAAUGCCAGAAGCAUUAAAUAAAAGUUAAGUUUGAAUUUUUUAAAACCAAUCAAGGAUUACCUUUGCUUCGUACUUAGCUCCGAGCCCACAGAGAGCGCAAACGGCAAUCAUGGUAAUAGAUCCAAUAAUACCUAGUAAUAUACGUAUAGAAACCGACGAUAUUUAGCGACGCGUUAAUUGCAUUGGCGAUGGCAAAAAUCACUCCGAUUGAACCGCCAAACUCGGGUCCCAAUACACGACUCAUGACAAAAAACAAACCAAAAAGCGGACGUCUACCUCCUCCAAUUUCACCGUUGGUAGCGAUGGCAGACAUGGAAAGCGCCGUCAUCAAGAUUUGAAGACUUACAUAUUCCUGAAAGAGCCACAACCCACGAGAUUCGGAGGAAAAGCAUAAUACCCCAAAUGCUCAACGUGUUGCGGAUGAGCACACCUUCGAUCCAUCCGAAUUUGUCACCAAUAGGCUCCGGUUCGUGUAAUUCUUCCAAUGUCGGACGUGAAUUGGAUCGAAGAUUGAAGAAGUUGAUGUAGUUUGCAAUGCGUGGAACUGUUUCCGUAUUCGUAGAGGUCGAACCUCUUCGGCUCAGGUUCAUUCCGAAUCGUCUGAGACUGGAUUGGAUCCGACCUAAACGGAAACUGUUUUGCGAAUUCGUGUCAAUCAGAGACGCACGACGUGAAGGCGGAACGACCGCAACACUUGGCUAAUAAAAUAAUGAAAUGGCGUUACUUCUAAUUUUAUUUGUGUGUCAAGAUAAAAAUUUAGGGACCUCGUCGGCUAAUGUAAAUGCUUCGUUAUCCAUUUCGACUCCGGAUGGAACAGUUGCCAGAGUUGGUGGUAUGAUGGUUGACCUUCGUCUGUGGCUCGAGAAUUCUAUCGUCUAAAUGUAAUUCAACAUAAUCAUAUGGGUCAUUAAAUACAAUUUUCAGGCUUCAA